UGUGAGCUCGAUGAGUAGGGCGGGACACGUGGUAUCCUGUCUGAAUAUGGGGGGACCAUCCUCCAAGGCUAAAUACUCCUGACUGACCGAUAGUGAACCAGUACCGUGAGGGAAAGGCGAAAAGAACCCCGGCGAGGGGAGUGAAAAAGAACCUGAAACCGUGUACGUACAAGCAGUGGGAGCACGCUUAGGCGUGUGACUGCGUACCUUUUGUAUAAUGGGUCAGCGACUUAUAUUCUGUAGCAAGGUUAACCGAAUAGGGGAGCCGAAGGGAAACCGAGUCUUAACUGGGCGUUAAGUUGCAGGGUAUAGACCCGAAACCCGGUGAUCUAGCCAUGGGCAGGUUGAAGGUUGGGUAACACUAACUGGAGGACCGAACCGACUAAUGUUGAAAAAUUAGCGGAUGACUUGUGGCUGGGGGUGAAAGGCCAAUCAAACCGGGAGAUAGCUGGUUCUCCCCGAAAGCUAUUUAGGUAGCGCCUCGUGAAUUCAUCUCCGGGGGUAGAGCACUGUUUCGGCAAGGGGGUCAUCCCGACUUACCAACCCGAUGCAAACUGCGAAUACCGGAGAAUGUUAUCACGGGAGACACACGGCGGGUGCUAACGUCCGUCGUGAAGAGGGAAACAACCCAGACCGCCAGCUAAGGUCCCAAAGUCAUGGUUAAGUGGGAAACGAUGUGGGAAGGCCCAGACAGCCAGGAUGUUGGCUUAGAAGCAGCCAUCAUUUAAAGAAAGCGUAAUAGCUCACUGGUCGAGUCGGCCUGCGCGGAAGAUGUAACGGGGCUAAACCAUGCACCGAAGCUGCGGCAGCGACGCUUAUGCGUUGUUGGGUAGGGGAGCGUUCUGUAAGCCUGUGAAGGUGUGCUGUGAGGCAUGCUGGAGGUAUCAGAAGUGCGAAUGCUGACAUAAGUAACGAUAAAGCGGGUGAAAAGCCCGCUCGCCGGAAGACCAAGGGUUCCUGUCCAACGUUAAUCGGGGCAGGGUGAGUCGACCCCUAAGGCGAGGCCGAAAGGCGUAGUCGAUGGGAAACAGGUUAAUAUUCCUGUACUUGGUGUUACUGCGAAGGGGGGACGGAGAAGGCUAUGUUGGCCGGGCGACGGUUGUCCCGGUUUAAGCGUGUAGGCUGGUUUUCCAGGCAAAUCCGGAAAAUCAAGGCUGAGGCGUGAUGACGAGGCACUACGGUGCUGAAGCAACAAAUGCCCUGCUUCCAGGAAAAGCCUCUAAGCAUCAGGUAACAUCAAAUCGUACCCCAAACCGACACAGGUGGUCAGGUAGAGAAUACCAAGGCGCUUGAGAGAACUCGGGUGAAGGAACUAGGCAAAAUGGUGCCGUAACUUCGGGAGAAGGCACGCUGAUAUGUAGGUGAAGUCCCUUGCGGAUGGAGCUGAAAUCAGUCGAAGAUACCAGCUGGCUGCAACUGUUUAUUAAAAACACAGCACUGUGCAAACACGAAAGUGGACGUAUACGGUGUGACGCCUGCCCGGUGCCGGAAGGUUAAUUGAUGGGGUCAGCGCAAGCGAAGCUCUUGAUCGAAGCCCCGGUAAACGGCGGCCGUAACUAUAACGGUCCUAAGGUAGCGAAAUUCCUUGUCGGGUAAGUUCCGACCUGCACGAAUGGCGUAAUGAUGGCCAGGCUGUCUCCACCCGAGACUCAGUGAAAUUGAACUCGCUGUGAAGAUGCAGUGUACCCGCGGCAAGACGGAAAGACCCCGUGAACCUUUACUAUAGCUUGACACUGAACAUUGAGCCUUGAUGUGUAGGAUAGGUGGGAGGCUUUGAAGUGUGGACGCCAGUCUGCAUGGAGCCGACCUUGAAAUACCACCCUUUAAUGUUUGAUGUUCUAACGUGGACCCGUGAUCCGGGUUGCGGACAGUGUCUGGUGGGUAGUUUGACUGGGGCGGUCUCCUCCUAAAGAGUAACGGAGGAGCACGAAGGUUGGCUAAUCCUGGUCGGACAUCAGGAGGUUAGUGCAAUGGCAUAAGCCAGCUUGACUGCGAGCGUGACGGCGCGAGCAGGUGCGAAAGCAGGUCAUAGUGAUCCGGUGGUUCUGAAUGGAAGGGCCAUCGCUCAACGGAUAAAAGGUACUCCGGGGAUAACAGGCUGAUACCGCCCAAGAGUUCAUAUCGACGGCGGUGUUUGGCACCUCGAUGUCGGCUCAUCACAUCCUGGGGCUGAAGUAGGUCCCAAGGGUAUGGCUGUUCGCCAUUUAAAGUGGUACGCGAGCUGGGUUUAGAACGUCGUGAGACAGUUCGGUCCCUAUCUGCCGUGGGCGCUGGAGAACUGAGGGGGGCUGCUCCUAGUACGAGAGGACCGGAGUGGACGCAUCACUGGUGUUCGGGUUGUCAUGCCAAUGGCACUGCCCGGUAGCUAAAUGCGGAAGAGAUAAGUGCUGAAAGCAUCUAAGCACGAAACUUGCCCCGAGAUGAGUUCUCCCUGACCCUUUAAGGGUCCUGAAGGAACGUUGAAGACGACGACGUUGAUAGGCCGGGUGUGUAAGCGCAGCGAUGCGUUGAGCUAACCGGUACUAAUGAACCGUGAGGCUUAACCUUACAACGCCGAAG
rnacentral:rRNA from 1 species